UCACGGGAGGCUGCAGUGGGGAAUAUUGGACAAUGGGCGAAAGCCUGAUCCAGCCAUGCCGCGUGUGUGAAGAAGGCCUUCGGGUUGUAAAGCACUUUCAGUGGGGAAGAAAGCCUUGGGGCUAAUACCCUCGAGGAAGGACAUCACCCACAGAAGAAGCACCGGCUAACUCCGUGCCAGCAGCCGCGGUAAUACGGAGGGUGCGAGCGUUAAUCGGAAUUACUGGGCGUAAAGCGCGCGUAGGCGGUCUGAUAAGCCGGUUGUGAAAGCCCCGGGCUCAACCUGGGAACGGCAUCCGGAACUGUCAGGCUAGAGUGCAGGAGAGGAAGGUAGAAUUCCCGGUGUAGCGGUGAAAUGCGUAGAGAUCGGGAGGAAUACCAGUGGCGAAGGCGGCCUUCUGGACUGACACUGACGCUGAGGUGCGAAAGCGUGGGUAGCAAACAGGAUUAGAUACCCGGGUAGUC
rnacentral:rRNA from 1 species